GGAGGUGCAUGGCCGUCGUCAGUUCGUACUGUGAAGCAUCCUGUUAAGUCAGGCAACGAGCGAGACCCACGCCAACAGUUGCCAGCUCGUCCUCCGGGGAUGGUGGGGACACUGUUGGGACCGCCUCUGCUAAAGAGGAGGAAGGAAUGGGCAACGGUAGGUCAGCAUGCCCCGAAUUAUCUGGGCUACACGCGGGCUACAAUGGGUGGGACAAUGGGUAUCGACACCGAAAGGUGAAGGCAAUCUCCUAAACCCAUCCGUAGUUCGGAUUGUGGGCUGCAACUCGCCCACAUGAAGCUGGAAUCUGUAGUAAUCGUGUCUCAAAAUGGCACGGUGAAUAUGUCCCUGCUCCUU
rnacentral:rRNA from 1 species